GACGAACGCUGGCGGCGUGCCUAACACAUGCAAGUCGAGCGAAUGAAGUUCCUUCGGGAAUGGAUUUAGCGGCGGACGGGUGAGUAACACGUGGGCAACCUGCCUCAUAGAGGGGAAUAGCCUUCCGAAAGGGAGAUUAAUACCGCAUAAGAUUGUAGUACAGCAUGGUGUAGCAAUUAAAGGAGCAAUCCGCUAUGAGAUGGGCCCGCGGCGCAGUAGCUAGUUGGUGAGGUAACGGCUCACCAAGGCGACGAUGCGUAGCCGACCUGAGAGGGUGAUCGGCCACAUUGGGACUGAGACACGGCCCAGACUCCUACGGGAGGCAGCAGUGGGGAAUAUUGCACAAUGGGGGAAACCCUGAUGCAGCAACGCCGCGUGAGUGAUGACGGCCCUCGGGUUGUAAAGCUCUGUCUUCAGGGACGAUAAUGACGGUACCUGAGGAGGAAGCCACGGCUAACUACGUGCCAGCCGCCGCGGUAA
rnacentral:rRNA from 1 species